rnacentral:rRNA from 1 species
GGUGAGUAACACGUGGGCAACCUGCCCUCAGCUCUGGGAUAACUCCGGGAAACCGGGGCUAAUACCGGAUACGACCUUCCCUCGCAUGGGGGUUGGUGGAAAGUUCUUCGGCUGAGGAUGGGCCCGCGGCCUAUCAGCUUGUUGGUGGGGUGAUGGCCUACCAAGGCGACGACGGGUAGCCGGCCUGAGAGGGCGACCGGCCACACUGGGACUGAGACACGGCCCAG